rnacentral:rRNA from 1 species
UACGAAGGUCCCAAGCGUUAUUCGGAAUCACUGGGCGUAAAGAGUACGUAGGCGGUUUGGUAAGUCAGGUGUGAAAUCCCGGAGCUCAACUCCGGAACUGCAUCCGAUACUGCCAGACUUGAGUAAUGGAGAGGCAGGUGGAAUUCUCGGUGUAGCAGUGAAAUGCGUGGAUAUCGAGAGGAAGACCAAUGGCGAAGGCAGCCUGCUGGACAUUUACUGACGCUGAGGUACGAAGGCUAGGGGAGCGAAAGGGAUUAGAUACCCCAGUAGUCC